rnacentral:rRNA from 1 species
UCACNAGANGGAGGAAAAGCAACCAACUGGGAUUGCCUUAGUAACGGCGAGUGAAGCGGCAAUAGCUCAAAUUUGAAAUCUGGCGCGCCUUUGGGCGUCCGAGUUGUAAUUUGCAGAGGAUGCUUUUGGCGAAUGCGCCUUCCGAGUUCCCUGGAACGGGACGCCACAGAGGGUGAGAGCCCCGUACGGUCUGGUGCUGAGCCCCUGUAAAGCUCCUUCGACGAGUCGAGUAGUUUGGGAAUCCUGCUCUAAAUGGGAGGUAAACUCCUUCUAAAGCUAAAUAUUGGCCAGAGACCGAUAGCGCACAAGUAGAGUGAUCGAAAGAUGAAAAGCACUUUGAAAAGAGAGUUAAAUAGCACGUGAAAUUGUUGAAAGGGAAGCGCUUAUGACCAGACUUGGGCCUGGUGGUUCAGCCGUCCUUCUGGGCGGUGUACUCUGCCGGUUCAGGCCAGCAUCAGUUGCUAGUUGGGGAGAAAGGUAUUGGGAAUGUGGCUCUUCGGAGUGUUAUAGACCUCUAUCUCAUGCCCUUCCGCCGACUGAGGUUAGCGUUCUUCACGGAUGCUGGCGUAAUGGUUAUUAGCGACCCGUCUUGAAACACGGACCAAGGAGUCGUCCUGCUAUGCAAGUGUUUGGGUGCUAAACCCCUACGCGAAAUGAAAGUGAACGGAGGUGAGAGCUUCGGCGCAUCAUCGACCGAUCCUGCUGUUUUCGAAUGGAUUUGAGUAAGAGCAUAGCGGGCCGGACCCGAAAGAAGGUGAACUAUGCUUGGAUAGGNCAAAGCCAGAGGAAACUCUGGUGGAGGCUCGCAGCGGUUCUGACGUNCAAAUCGAUCGUCAAAUCUGAGCAUGGGGNCGAAAGACUAAUCGNACCUUCUAGUA